rnacentral:rRNA from 1 species
CAGCAGCCGCGGUAAUACGAAGGGGGCUAGCGUUGUUCGGAAUUACUGGGCGUAAAGCGCACGUAGGCGGAUAUUUAAGUCAGGGGUGAAAUCCCGAGGCUCAACCUCGGAACUGCCUUUGAUACUGGAGAUCUUGAGUUCGGAAGAGGUUGGUGGAACAGCUAGUGUAGAGGUGAAAUUCGUAGAUAUUAGCUAGAACACCAGUGGCGAAGGCGGCCAACUGGUCCGACACUGACGCUGAGGUGCGAAAGCGUGGGGAGCAAACAGGAUUAGAUACCCCCGUAGUCCCUGUCUCUUAUAC